ensembl:misc_RNA Metazoa_SRP Metazoan signal recognition particle RNA
GCCAGGCGUGGUGGUGGGCGCCUGUAAUCCCAGCUACUUGGGAGGCUGAGGCAGGAGAAUUGUUUGAACCCGGGAGGUGGAGGCUGCAGUGAGUCAAGAUCACGCCACUGCACUCCAGCCUGGGUGACAGAGCGAGACUCUGUCUCCA